AUGCAAGUCGAGCGGUAGCACAGAGAAGCUUGCUUCUUGGGUGACGAGCGGCGGACGGGUGAGUAACGCGUGGGAAUCUACCUGGUAGUGGGGGACAACAGUCGGAAACGACUGCUAAUACCGCAUACGCCCUUCGGGGGAAAGUGGGGGAUCUUCGGACCUUACGCUAUCAGAUGAGCCCGCGUCGGAUUAGCUUGUUGGUGAGGUAAGAGCUCACCAAGGCGAUGAUCCGUAGCUGGUCUGAGAGGAUGACCAGCCACACUGGGACUGAGACACGGCCCAGACUCCUACGGGAGGCAGCAGUGGGGAAUAUUGGACAAUGGGGGCAACCCUGAUCCAGCCAUGCCGCGUGUGUGAAGAAGGCCUUCGGGUUGUAAAGCACUUUCAGCAGUGAGGAAAGGCGUAAGGUUAAUACCCUUGUGCUGUGACGUUAACUGCAGAAGAAGGACCGGCUAACUCCGUGCCAGCAGCCGCGGUAAUACGGAGGGUCCGAGCGUUAAUCGGAAUUACUGGGCGUAAAGCGCGCGUAGGUGGUUCAGUCAGUCAGAUGUGAAAGCCCCGGGCUCAACCUGGGAACUGCACCUGAUACUGCUGAGCUAGAGUACGGUAGAGGGUAGUGGAAUUUCCGGUGUAGCGGUGAAAUGCGUAGAGAUCGGAAGGAACACCAGUGGCGAAGGCGACUACCUGGACCGAUACUGACACUGAGGUGCGAAAGCGUGGGUAGCAAACAGGAUUAGAUACCCUGGUAGUCCACGCCGUAAACGAUGUCAACUAGCCGUUGGGGGACUUGAUCCUUUAGUGGCGAAGCUAACGCGAUAAGUUGACCGCCUGGGGAGUACGGCCGCAAGGUUAAAACUCAAAUGAAUUGACGGGG
rnacentral:rRNA from 1 species